GCGCGGGUAGCUCAGUGGGUAGAGCUUUCGAUUGCAGCUCGAAGGGUCACUGGUUCGAACCCGGUCUCGCGCU
rnacentral:tRNA from 1 species